GCAGUUUUGUUACUGACUUUUUCUUAGCAUGUAUCAGGACUAACAAUUUUUUUUUAUUAAUUGAAGUAAAAGCCUUGAAGACAACAGGAUGAAAAGCCCCAAGAACCCUCAUUUAUUUAAUUUCUAAUUUUACAUAAGCACACUUAGAGCUUAACUUCUUGCAUAGUUUUAAUGAUCGUGUAGUUUCAAUGCUGCAUACGUGAAGUUUAUAUACAGAUUGGGGUGGUGGGAGCUGUGGUAUCCUAAGAAUCCUUCUCCCAGGAUCAGAGGUAUUCAGAAGGGUUUGGGCAGUCUGGAGGAUGCAGAAGCAGCCCCUUGCUGUCUCUGCUGCGUGUUUGUUUGAAAGGGGAGCAAGGGGAUUAGGGCUGGGCAGGUUCUGAGGGGUUGAACAAUACUACAGUGAUUACUAUCGAUGACCCCUGUAAAUCCUAGCACUUGCCCGGCUUAUUUGUUUUUUUUUCAUGCUGCUAUGUUGGUGCUGCGCUAAAAGCUGCAGUUGUUAAUUGCAGGGCUUGUGGUGCCAGGAUGCUUUUUAACAUAAUUGGUGGAUUUCAUGAACAAACUUCUGUGAGGGGGAGUGGAAUGAGGAAAGCAGGAAAUCAGUGCCAUCUGGCAACCUGCACAGACAUGGAAACAGAAUCUGCCACUGCUUGCAAAGAGCACUAGCGUUACUAGAGGUGUGGUGAGAAACUGCAGGUUGCUGUUGGGUUGUUCGUUUGAGAGGAGUUCUGGGUUUGGAUUUCUGUUUUCGUUGUGAUAAGUCCCACUCAGUUUUCUUCUGUGCUUUCCUUAAGGAAAUCAUACCUUUUUCCAUUAAAAGAAAUUCACCAUCAAACUAGGUGCACAGGCUUACUGUUGUCCCUUGUUUUCUGUUCUUAACAGUUUGCCUUUCUGCUUAAUGUUCAGCUGAUGCUCUGCUGUGGGAAGCAGCAUACCCAGUCCUGUUAGCAGCAAGCGCUCAUUAAAGCCAAAACUAUGGUCUUGUCUCUAAAAAUGAAAUUUUGACCAAAUAAAAAUUCAAACGUUGCAGUGAGUCAAUGUAUUCUUAAGCUAUUUCAUUACUACUUUGCAAAAUCAAGCUGGACUCCAGGCGAUAUUUCAAGUUCAGGAGUGACAACAAUGCAGGGGGAGACUGUACACCCAGACCCCAAGUAGCUGUGUGAAGUGAAAAUUUGUAAUUAUAACCUUACUCACUGAUGUAUUUUAAGAGAAUUUGAGUGCAGUUAUGGUAGCUUUGGUCUUCUAUGAAACCGGAGAAGUUUUAUUUUUAUUUUUUAAUUGGAAAAGAAAUAUUUGAGUAUUUUAAUGGCUAUGCAAGCUUUAUUCCUUUUCCUAAGUAAACCACUUUCUUUAAAAGGUAACUACUUGCAGCCCUCUGAACAAAGGAACUCUAAUGUUAUUAAACCUUUUCCCAGUUUUCCAGACAUAGAGCUCUGGCUGUUAUUGAAAGAAAAAGCCCACAGGCUCUUCCUUUAAUGAGCUGCUUUGGAUUGUAUGUCCAUAAUUUAUUAAUGUAAUUGCUUUAUUAUUACAUUUGUAUGGCUGAAAGGAAGCUGUCUCUAAUGGACAUAGAAUUUCAUGUAGUAUCUUUAUAAAAGAUGCAUUAUUAGUUGGUGAGAAAAAUACAUGUUGUACUACUUCAGGCUUUGUUUAAAAGUACUGCUUUAUUAGUUAUUGUGUUUCACGUGUAAUUAUUCCUAAAUUUUACAUGAUAAUAAGUUUUUUUCAGAUUAGAAUUGAUACCUAUUUGAAAUUGCAGCGUAUAGGUAACGUAUAUAAUUAGGGCUUUGUUGCACGACGAUUCUUAAAGUGAAAUGAAAUCUGUUCCAAUUUGCCUUGAGUAUAUCUGAAAUAAGGAAUGGAAAUACCUUGUGUGUACUUUUACUCUUCUAAACUUGGAAUGCAUUAUGAUCUAAAAUUUAUUUUUCUAAAUGGAUAAGUAAAAAUAGUAAAGAAGAAAAGUAAACAAGGUAGAGAAGCUUUUAGAUCUAGUUUUAAGUUUUCUUCUUUCGUAGAGGGGUGUCACAUGAAAAUGUCUUUCCAGUUAUUUUUGAUUCAGUGUCCAUUUGAUUUCUUCACAUAUUUUUAAUGUAAAUUGUAAUGCUGUUAAAGAUAUGCUUACAUAUACUGAACAUAAUCUGAAAAAAGAAAUGAGCAGUCUUGUGGUGAGAUUUGCAAAAGACAGGUAUUUAAAGUACUACAUGUAUUCGUUUACUCCGUGGUUUUUUAACGUUGAAGUAGUUUGAAGAUGUCACUGCUUUGUAAUCAAUGUGUCUAAGCCUACAGAUGCCAGGA